rnacentral:rRNA from 1 species
UACGGGGGGGGCAAGCGUUGUUCGGAAUUACUGGGCGUAAAGGGCUCGUAGGCGGCCAACUAAGUCAGACGUGAAAUCCCUCGGCUUAACCGGGGAACUGCGUCUGAUACUGGAUGGCUGGAGUAUGGGAGAGGAAUGCGGAAUUCCAGGUGUAGCGGUGAAAUGCGUAGAUAUCGGGAGGAAUACCUAUGGCGAAAGCAGGCUACUGGACCGUCACUGACUCUGAUCUGCGAAAGCUAGGGGAGCAAACAGG